UACGUAGGGAGCAAGCGUUGUUCGGAUUUACUGGGCGUAAAGGGCGCGUAGGCGGCGUGUCAAGUCGAUUGUGAAAUCUCCGGGCUUAACUCGGAACGGCCAAUCGAUACUGACGUGCUAGAGUGCAGAAAGGGCAAUCGGAAUUCUUGGUGUAGCGGUGAAAUGCGUAGAUAUCAAGAGGAACACCUGAGGCGAAGGCGGGUUGCUAGGCUGACACUGACGCUGAGUGCGCGAAAGUGUGGGGAGCGAACAGG
rnacentral:rRNA from 1 species